CCUUUGUUGCAAAUAACUGGUUUGAAUUUCCGCUUUCUGCGAAAAAUCAAUUAAAAGGGAAUGCUGUGAAAAUCAGCAACAGUUCCCGCUGCUGUGAGCUCUAUUAUAUGUGCUGAGCAAAAUACCUUUGCCACUGUUCGUUUAUUGAUGAAUGGGAAGGCGCUCAAACACAAGAGUAAGUCAGAAGACCUGCCCGUUAUUAUCGCUUUUUG
rnacentral:ncRNA from 1 species